AUUGAACGCUGGCGGCAGGCCUAACACAUGCAAGUCGAGCGGAGCGGCGGACGGGUGAGUAAUGCCUAGGAAUCUGCCUGGUAGUGGGGGAUAACGUCCGGAAACGGGCGCUAAUACCGCAUACUAUCAGAUGAGCCUAGGUCGGAUUAGCUAGUUGGUGGGGUAAAGGCCUACCAAGGCGACGAUCCGUAACUGGUCUGAGAGGAUGAUCAGUCAAACUGGAACUGAGACACGGUCCCGACUCCUACGGGAGGCAGCAGUGGGGAAUAUUGGACAAUGGGCGAAAGCCUGAUCCAGCCAUGCCGCGUGUGUGAAGAAGGUCUUCGGAUUGUAAAGCACUUUAAGUUGGGAGGCGUUACCCGCAGAAGAAGCACCGGCUAACUCCGUGCCAGCAGCCGCGGUAAUAC
rnacentral:rRNA from 1 species